GACGAAUUAUUUUGUAGCUCGGAUUUCUUCGUCAUGUAAUAUCUCCUGACGCAAAAAACAAUUUCACUCGUUCGUUUUCACAUGCGCGCUAUCGCUGACAAUUGCCUACUGACAGGUGGUGAAUUGCAGCAAAUGAAUGUCCUGCACCAGCACCAAUGAGAACGGCAACGGAAUUGGAUGGAACUGAAAGAAAUUCUGGCUGCAGUAUGUCCUCCGUUUUUCCAUUACCGCAAUUUCCAUGCUCGUUCCAGCCCCAACAUAACACUGCUCCAUCAUCUGUAAAAUUAUUAUUAUUAUUAUUAUUAUUAUUAUUAUUAUUAUUAUGUAUAUACUAAAAUACCUUUUUGAGCAAUA